AGGGUAAUUAACUGGCCUCGGAGGAAAAGCGCACUGCAGCAAGAUGAGCAAGCCCGCCCGUGCCAGCCGGAACUGCCAGGGCUGCCCCACGGUGGUAACCUGCUCUCCACCACCUGUCCAGCCACCUGCCUGAGGAAGCCCUUCCAACAACAAGGAGGGAUCACUCCAGCAAGAAACCAUCCGCAGUGUUCAAAAGGAACCAGAAAAGGAAAGCAAAGGGUGCAACUUUAUUCUUAGGGAAAGACAACAAAAAGGCAUGUGUGUCUCUACACUGGAUCCCGAGCGGCUGGAGUUCUCCACCGAGAGAGUUCUGUGCCCAGCGGGACAUAGGGGUGAGGACCCCACAGCGGGGUGGGCACUCCAGGGUGAGUCUAACACAGGUGAAGAAGCCCUUUUGUUCCCUGCUAAACCCACAGUGUGGUUCCCUUGGAGAUCUCAGAAAGGACUGGAGCCAUCAACUCCCCCAAGACCGGCUAGGAGAAAUGCAUUCCCUCCGGUGCCUCUUUCCCUGAGUGAGUCACACAGUGAAUCAUGUCUAAUGACAAGCUGCUGCACCACAAGUUCACCCCACCUGGAGGGCACACCAAGGUGGCAGUAAUAACACACCCCACAUCCAGCCACAUCCGUCUCAGUGACAUGCAAAGAAG